rnacentral:rRNA from 1 species
UAGCAUAUCAAUAAGCGGAGGAAAAGAAACCAACAGGGAUUGCCCUAGUAACGGCGAGUGAAGCGGCAACAGCUCAAAUUUGAAAUCUGGCUUCGGCCCGAGUUGUAAUUUGCAGAGGAAGCUUUAGGCGCGGCACCUUCUGAGUCCCCUGGAACGGGGCGCCAUAGAGGGUGAGAGCCCCGUAUAGUUGGAUGCCUAGCCUGUGUAAAGCUCCUUCGACGAGUCGAGUAGUUUGGGAAUGCUGCUCAAAAUGGGAGGUAAAUUUCUUCUAAAGCUAAAUACCGGCCAGAGACCGAUAGCGCACAAGUAGAGUGAUCGAAAGAUGAAAAGCACUUUGAAAAGAGGGUUAAAUAGCACGUGAAAUUGUUGAAAGGGAAGCGCUUGUGACCAGACUUGCGCCGGGCGGAUCAUCCGGUGUUCUCACCGGUGCACUCCGCCCGGCUCAGGCCAGCAUCGGUUCUCGCGGGGGGAUAAAGGUCCUGGGAACGUAGCUCCUCCGGGAGUGUUAUAGCCCGGGGCGUAAUGCCCUCGCGGGGACCGAGGUUCGCGCAUCUGCAAGGAUGCUGGCGUAAUGGUCAUCAGCGACCCGUCUUGAAACACGGACCAAGGAGUCAAGGUUUUGCGCGAGUGUUUGGGUGUAAAACCCGCACGCGUAAUGAAAGUGAACGUAGGUGAGAGCUUCGGCGCAUCAUCGACCGAUCCUGAUGUUUUCGGAUGGAUUUGAGUAGGAGCGUUAAGCCUUGGACCCGAAAGAUGGUGAACUAUGCUUGGAUAGGGUGAAGCCAGAGGAAACUCUGGUGGAGGCUCGCAGCGGUUCUGACGUGCAAAUCGAUCGUCAAAUCUGAGCAUGGGGGGCGAAAGACUAAUCGAACCAUCUAGUAGCUGGUUACCGCCGA